CCCGCCUUCCUCCGGCGCGGCGGGGCCGGCUGCGAAGUGCGGGGCCGGGUCUGUGGUUCCCAUCGGACCCGGGAGGCGGCAGCGUCGGCCCGAAGUCCCCGCGGUCUCGGGAAAGGCGCGUGAAGACCUCGCGAAGACGCGGGAGACGUCCUUGCGCUAUCGCUUCAGGUUCUGCACGGCGAACCCAUUUCUCCCCCGCACCAGCCAGUCUGUGACUCGGGAAAUGGGUGGUCUCUGUCUCUCUCUUUAGGUUCUUACAUAGAUCGGGACUCUGAUGAGAACCACCCCCUCUUUUGGGGAGUCAUGGAUGGGGAUAGUAAAGAUGCAUCUUCUUGGGAGUCA